GGUGAAUUCAUUUAUCAAAAAAAAAAAUUGGCAGCUGAUACUGCCUAUCCUAAGAUACUUCAUAUGUGUUGGCAUAUUAUCCUAUUGAGAAAUGUACUCUCCGUUGAUCCCAGCCCACACUGAACAGCUGGACUCCUAAUUCAUGAAGCUUUUGCAGACUGGAAUCCUAAUUCAUGAGCUUAAAAGCUUAUGAAUUUUUGGCUGGAAUUUGUCGUCUGAUAAAUUGCAAUACUUUGAACUUAGGCGAAAGCCCACUCAAUUCUGAGUUUGGUCUCAACAGAACCUCAGAAGAAACAAUUUCAAAACAUUCAUUCAAUAAGGUAUAAACCCGAUCUUUGACAUCCAGAAAGGAGAGCUUGGGCGGAAAUUCCUUCGUUGCGAAACUUCCGCUCAUAGAAACUGGUAAGUACAAAAUCAUAAGCUAUACAAUCUAAUAUGGAGCAGAAGGCUUUGCAUUUGACAAUUUAACUAAUCAUCCUUCUAAACAUCUUGCUGACUUGGAGUCAUUUCCCAUUCUUUCUUAAACUGCAUUUUCCUGAUGAGGCCUAGAUUAUGUUGGUUCCAGUGAAUCUUACUGAACAAUGAUGAGCCAAGUAAAAAUCAGAGGGUUAUAUUAAGAUUAGACCUUCUGAAUUGGGUAAGAGGCAGAUCUUGGUGAGUUAUGGUGAAUGAUGAUGAAGAACGAAUAAUGGAUAGCAAACUCGACUAGGAGAUGGCGGAGGGAAAGGUUGAGCNNNN
rnacentral:lncRNA from 1 species